GCAUUGGUGGUUUAGUGGUAGGAUUCUUGCCUUCCAUUCAAGAGACCCAGGUUUGAUUCCUGACCAAUGCA
rnacentral:tRNA from 1 species